rnacentral:lncRNA from 10 species
ACAGCAGCGGGCGGCGGGACCCGGGACCCAGCUUGGCGACGGCGAUCUCGACGCGGGCCCCCAGGAUCUCCCGGCGCCCCACCUCUGGAGCAGCCCCUGCCGCCAGCGUCAGGUCCACCCCGGAAUCCCAGGGACUCUCGGCGCCGAACGGACCCGGGCCGGGUGCAACGGGGUCCCCGGACUGGAGAAGACGCGGGUGGCACCGUGCGAGCUCCAGGAGCCCCGGGUCCACUGCGAGGCCUCGGGGGGCGCAGACCUGCAGAGACUGCGGCCAACGGGAAGAAAUAAAGGGAUUAUAGUCCACCCAAUUCACAGACUUCUGAGACUCAGACACGAGGAGAGAUAGAGAACCGCCAAUCUCUAAAUCAACAAGCAAAGGAGGUGCCAAGCCUGUUUGUCUUCAUUGUGACACUGGAGAAAUAUCUUUCUCACAGUCUAGAUGCUGGGAAGUCCAAGAUCAGGGUGCCGGCAUGGUCAGUUCCUGGCGAAGCCUCUCUUCUAGGUUUCAGACUGCCCUCUUCUUUGUUGUGUCCUCGAAUGGCAGAAAAAGGG